GUGAAUAAUCAUGUCUACCCACCAGACACUCCAGAAAAAGUGGCUCUUUCAAGCAACAAAGAAAGCUCAAAAGAUAAUUUGCCAUAACUGCUCUUCUAACACUCUUUAGAGUCUGUUUUCUACAAUCUACUAUGUCUUGCAUGCUCUGGGAACUUUGACAUUCAUCCUUAACACCACCAGUCAAGAUGAAGAGCAGCAUGAACUAUAUUCUGUAAAUCCCCAAACUAUUACAGCAUUAUUCAAAU